rnacentral:misc_RNA from 1 species
UCUUCCUUGCUUCAGCUAGCUCCUUUGCCUGUAUACGACGCUCUCGCUUGGAUUCAACUGGGACAUGAGGCUUGGGUUGUUGCUUCUUAUCUCCCAGCUGCUUUGUCAAUUUAUGGGGUUUCUUCAGAACCUUGUCCGUUGAUGAUUUCAGUUUCUUGGGAGCUGAUUUACCUCCAGCUGCUGGUACAUGCUUUCGCUUUUUGGAAUCGUCUGGUUUUGCCGCCAUUGUUGUCAAGUGUUGAAUUCUGACUCAGUAUUGGGGGUUUUGCAAGGGUUUAUAAUUUGUGGCGCUUUU